rnacentral:rRNA from 1 species
CCUACGGGAGGCAGCAGUGAGGAAUAUUGGUCAAUGGACGAGAGUCUGAACCAGCCAAGUAGCGUGAAGGAUGACUGCCCUAUGGGUUGUAAACUUCUUUUAUAAAGGAAUAAAACGAGGCACGUGUGCCUUUUUGCAUGUACUUUAUGAAUAAGGAUCGGCUAACUCCGUGCCAGCAGCCGCGGUAAUACGGAGGAUCCGAGCGUUAUCCGGAUUGAUUGGGUUUAAGGGGAGCGUAGAUGGGUUGUUAAGUCAGUUGUGAAAGUUUGCGGCUCAAACGUAAAAUUGCAAUUGAUACUGGCAGUCUUGAGUACAGUUGAGGUAGGCGGAAUUCGUGGUGUAGCGGUGAAAUGCUUAGAUAUCACGAAGAACCCCGAUUGCGAAGGCAGCUUACUAAACUGUGACUGACAUUGAUGCUCGAAAGUGUGGGUAUCAAACAGGAUUAGAUACCCGUGUAGUC